GCCCCGGUGGUGUAGCCCGGUCCAACACGCCGGCCUGUGGAGCCGGAGAACCCGGGUUCAAAUCCCGGCCGGGGCCCCA
rnacentral:tRNA from 1 species